CUUUGACCUCAAAUCAGGUAGAA
rnacentral:rRNA from 1 species